UCAGACGAUGCGUCAUGCAUAUCAAUAAGCGGAGGAAAAGAAACUAACAAGGAUUCCCUUAGUAACGGCGAGUGAAGCGGGAAGAGCUCAAAUUUGAAAUCUUCAAGGUUUUACCUUGACGAAUUGUAGUUUAAAGAAGUGUUUUCUGCUGAAGUUUUGGUAAAAGUUCUUUGGAAUAGGACAUCACAGAGGGUGAGAAUCCCGUCUAUGGUUGCGAUUUGUAGCUUUGUGAUACACUUUCAAAGAGUCGGAUUGUUUGGGAAUGCAGUCCAAAAUGGGUGGUAAAUUUCAUCUAAAGCUAAAUAUUGGCGAGAGACCGAUAGCGAACAAGUACCGUGAGGGAAAGAUGAAAAGAACUUUGAAAAGAGAGUUAAACAGUACGUGAAAUUGUCAAAAGGGAAGCGUUUGACACCAGUGUUGUUUUUCUGAAAAUCAAUUAAAGAACUGUUUAUGCUAAGUUGUUUAGACUUUAUCAGCUAUCUGCUUAGUUUUGAGCUUUUCUUUAAUGCACUUUUCAGUUAACAAGUCAACAUCAAUUUCUUUUGCUGUAAAAAAGCUUGAGGAAGGUGGCUUGAGAUUCGUCUUAAGUGUUUAUAGCCUCUUGCCUAUGCAGUCGGAGAGAUUGAGGUCUGCAGCAUAGAUCCUUCGGGGCUAGAUGCAUUUGUGCUAGAAGUUAUAGCUAUUAUAUAGACAACUUGUUGACUAUGUAAUUAUCUUAGUUAGCUUACUCGCUUAAGUUAUUUUACCUACGCUUAGGAUGUUGACUGAUAUGUAGUCGUA
rnacentral:rRNA from 1 species